rnacentral:lncRNA from 1 species
ACGUGUCACAUUGAAGUUUUUAAGAAAACCCAUGCCUCUUUCAACGUCCUUCUUAGUGUUUUAAAAGAUAGUCUUUGCUAAGUUAAUAAAGUGAAUGGAAGCUGUGCACCAGGUAGGUAUCCGAAACAGAGGAGGUGAGCCAUGAAGGCUGCUUAAGUACCAAGCUCUUGAUUGGAUCCAAUCCUAGACAUGCCCACAACCAUUGCC